GCAGUAACCAGGCGUUGGGCAAAAAAGUCAAACUGGCGGAGCUCUUGGGAACUGGGGCGAUGGUCUCUUAGGAUCGGAGGAUUGGAACCAUCCGAUUUUUACCUGAAAUUCCUUAGUCUCUCCUGUGUUGGGGAAAUGAGUCCCCUCUCACCAUGUCCGGCUGGCGGCGACCCAGAUGCCAUGAGAUGGCCAUUUGAAGACAGGCCUGCUGGACAUCAGGUCACCUUGCCUUCAAGACGGACCUGGGCUUUCAGCCGUCCAUACCUGGCCCUGGUUGAUGGCGGCAUGCUGGGCAGUGCACGUGAAGACGCACAUGAGACCGGGACUUGCUGUGUUGCCCAGGCUGGUCUUGAACUCCUGGUCUUAAGCAAUCAUACUGCUUUGGCCACCCAAAGCACUGGGAUUACAGGCAUGAACUACCACACCCAGCUCUUAAAACCACAGUAUUUCUAGGUCAGUAUAACACACCCGCCCCAUGGAAUUACAGGUGUGGCAGAAGCUUGGACUUCUGGCUUUUCUCUCUCUCACACCCAGGCAAGCUGCAGCUACUGUUUCCUCCCUUCACUACGUUUUAGAUUCUUUCCUUUUCAUUCCUGUCAUUACCAUGCUAACGUACAUCUCUAUCUACCUUACUGUUGGGCAGGUAUGAGUGGCUUGCUGGCUGCUCUUCCUUGUCUUUUGAUCUGUUUCUACUUUGCUGACUCCUCAGUUGGGGAGAAACAUUCUUCAUCAAUACUAGACUGUUAUAGGCUAUCCCUUGUCAUUUCAAACUCUAGCACCAGAUACUGUUCUCUGGUUGGUUCUUAUGGGCACCACUUGCUUUUCUGGCUGAAUACUAAAUCUAAGGUAGGAAUACGGCUUUUGUUUUACUAACAGUGUUCAAGCCUUGCUGUGAGUGCACUGCUAGACGGUCAGAUCUCACUGUGAGUGCACUGCUAGACGGUCAGAUCUCUGAGAAUUUCAGAGGGUUCCUGUAUAAUGUUAAGUGACUAAACUUAAUACACGUAAUUAAAAUCAACAUCUCAAGAUAUCGA